CUCCAGGCAAUUUAGGUCCUCUUUACAACCGAGAGAGAACACGAAUCCUCGUUAUGCUGAGGACACAGCAAGGGGGUCCAGGGAGAGCCUGGUGAGCUGAGGCGCUGCGUAAAUGUUGGGAUCACACGGAAGGAGAGGCUGGGCCAGGGAGGAAGGCUGGGCGUCCAGCAACCGGGGCCAGCCAGGGCCUGGCAGGGCUCCCUCGCCAGCCUGCUCUGAGCCUGCCUGUCCCUUGGCCCCACCAAGGCGGAUGCAGGAACUCUGGGAGCAGCCAAGAUGCCCAGCAGCAGCAGCAGCCAGCAGGAGCCGGGAGAGAAAACUAGACAUGAACGCAGCUCAGUGGAGAGGCGGUCACGCAGGGAAACUAAUACAAUAACCUUCUCCACUGAAGACUCCUAAAGGAGGACAACUGUUAGCAGGGAGGUGUCCAGGUAAGGAGACAAAGGACAAUGUCCCCUUCUUGUCAUAUCUGCCCUUGGUCCAUA
rnacentral:lncRNA from 1 species